CUCCCAAAGAGGAAGGAUCUCUGUCUGGAAAUUGCCCCUCUUGGAGCAGUUCUGCAAGCCCAAGGACAUGGUUUUCAGUUGCGUCCCUACUACCAGCAUUGGAGCCUCCUGCACACCUCCUUAUAGUAAUGAAAGGGAUACUGGUGAGGGUGAGAAGAUCUGUAGUGUCUGCACUGAACAUCUUUCCACUUUGGACAAUCUUAGACUAGCUUUGAGAAGACUUUCUCAUACAAGAAUUUAGUAAUGCCAAAUAAUACUACAGCCUGCAUCUUGCCUUUCUUGUUGCGUUCCAUAGUCCACUUGGCUGACAUCAGUGACCUGAGGAAAAUGUGGUGAAGGCUCCUGGGGACAAACGAGAGGCUGGAUGUGCCUGGAGGGGGGUGUGAGCAGCUGAACACAAAUGAAAUCACCUCAUCAGAAGAGCAUGAUAUGCUUCUGAAGAUCCAUAAAGACACAGGACUGGUGCAUGCAACAGACUCCUUAAGUUCACUGUGCUGUGAUCAGAUCAAGAAGUCGAAGAGAAAUGUUUGCUGUUUGUCUGCAUAUCUGCAGACAUAAAGGUGUGUGAUGCAAAGUAAGCUGUGUGGCAAGUGAGUCCAAGUGCUCAGUGAGUGUCCCUAGCUUUGGCUGUGCUGUGAUACUUGAAUGUCUCCCUUUUCUGAACUACCAGUUAAGGGUUAUGUAGGAGUAGAGAGGAAAGCUUUCUGUUUCAGAGGUUAGUAAAGUGCUGGGACCUUGUGAUUCUCUAAGUUAGAGGAGAUGUAGAUUUGUACAUAAAAUAUAAAGCAGACAAAUUAACUAAGCAGAGGCAAGGAUGCAUUUCUCUGAGAAAGACUCAUGGAGAUGUUCAAUGGAAAGAGAAAACAUAGGAAAAAGAGCUUUGUGAUGCAGCCUGAACACAGCUGUGUCAGUCUGAGCCUAGUCUCUGCAAAUUGAUAGUGUGGCUUUUGUGUUGGUAUGACAUUGUAAUUUUAAAAUGCCUUCCCCUAUAAGACACCCUGUAGAUUUUUCCCGCAGGGUAAUAGGUGGAGAUGAAACUUAAGCUGCCUGAUGAUAGGCUAUUUGUCUUGCCUGAGUGCCUGACUAUGGCAGUGAGUUAUGUGUUUCUACCACUUGCCGCAGGAGCAGCACGAAACUUAAACAUAAGCAAAGGAUGCCUCAUAGAUACAUUAGCAUGAUCAUUUGGGUCACUGCAUGCCUGUCAAAACUCUGUUCCCUAAGGGUACAGUAAGGAAUACUUCUUGCAACACUGUUUUGACAUAAUAUACUUAAGUUUUGCUGGACUUCUGAAGCUUUGAGCACUCCCUAAUGUAGAAGAUCUCAGGUCUGAGUCACACUGCUCCCAACUGAUUUCUGAGAGACUGGGUUCAAUACAGCAUUCUGCAGGACUGUAUCCCUUCCAUUAGGAAGGAAGUCAUUAACUAAUGUUCUAAGAGAGAAAAAUUAGGAGGUUUAAGUCACUACCAGUUGGCAAGAGGUUCACAUACAGAUCUUCAGUUUCCCUCAGGAGCAAUUAAAUGAAAUCAGUUACAUUUGCAUAUAAAAUAGCUUGUCUUUUCUCUCAUCAGAAAAUAGGUAUUAUGAAACUCUUCUGUUUUCCCUUGCAAGAACCCACAUGAGAAUUAUUUAAUUGGAAAGCUUAAAUCUGUUCAUCUAAAACCAAAUAGAAAAUGAGAUUUCAUAUAUAUAUUUAAUAAAAUUCACAAAUGGGAGAUUUAAUAGCUUGGUAAUCUGAAAAGAAGUUAUAUUUAAUAUUUUAAUGAAUUUAUAAUGUUUCAUAAAAUUAUUUGUGCUCAUUAAUAUAUCUAAAACUAAUUUUUAAAUUAAAGAAAUCUUAUUAACUAGACAAGACAAAUGAUAAAGAACUCCUAAGACAGAAAAUAGAACAACUUUCCAGGCUCUUACAUUCCUAAGAAUGUGCUAGGACUUCAGUGCACUUCUUUUGAAUAUGUUUCCAGACUAAUUUUGUCUGUGAAGAUUUGAUUUUUAAGACUUGGGACUAGUUUUGAUUAAUCAAACAGCAAUAAGUAAUUCUUCUUAAUUUAAGUAAAAUUCAACUUGAAAAUAAUUUUCUACCCUUCUUUAUGUUUUCUUAGCACCCGGGGGGGGUAGCUCUGUUCCAUCCACGUGGGUUGUACCUCAUUUCUACUUGGGAAAUCAGUAGGGUUUCUUUGUGGUGACCAACAGGUCUUAUUCUGGGGCUUUGGGAACAUUUCUACAUUACCAGGUAGUUUAGUCCAGGGUAGUGCUUUGCAAAGUAGUUAAUGGAUCUGUAAUUGAGGAAUCACUGGCCAAAUGAGAAUCUAUCGGACUAGGCAAUUUGGGGGCUUAAAAAUGUCUUGUUUUUGAGGGUGUAUGGCUCUGUAAAUGGGAAUGCAUGAGUUACUAUCAACUGCUAUGAAAUUGUUUCACAACUGUAUUUUGAAGUGUUUUUUUGUGCAUGACUAUGAGGGCAGCUGAGUCACUCAGUACAUCAGGUGUGGGGUGGUAGAAAGAUUUCAAACUCAAAGACUUUCCCAGCCUGGUUCUGCCCCACUGCUGCCUGUUCCCCUGCAGGAUCCCCUCCCAAGUGCUGUGAAUUGCGCUGAGUGUUUUGGCAGCUCCCUGCAACAAACCAGGAGCCUGGCGCUUCUCAGAGCCUCCUAUUUAUGAGAAUGGGAGCAAAACAAUGCCCCAAGCUGUACUUUCUCUGAGUGCUACUCCAGAACAGAGUUCUUCAUCUAUAACUUCAGUACUAAAAAUGAAGUCUUAACACUUUGACCAACCGUACUCUUUAACACCACUAUUUGACUGAAAAAGUUAUAGUCCCAUAUGUCAGUUGUGAAAGAACUUCUGAAUGCAGCCAACAGCUUUUUCUUUCCAUGUGUGAAGUUUACAGUACAGCUCUGCUUCCAGGCUUGGUAAUGUUCUUUUCUUUUUUUUAUUAUAAAAACAGGAGAAUCUGGAAUUAGAAGUGAGGCUGGAGAUGUAAUUUUGCCUACCUUUUUACUUGCAUUUAUUCUUCUGACUUGUUAUGAAAGCUAUGGUUGCCUCUACUCAAGAAAUAUCUCAUUAGGUGAUUAACUUGUCUACAUAGUUAUUUUUGUUGCUGCUUUUCUGUACAUGACUGACCUACAGAAAUGUGCUCUUGCUUAGGUGUGAAAAACAUACAUGUGUGCUAUGGCUCAUGUAGAAUUCAGCAGCAUUAAGACCAGUAAGUCCAUUGCUGGUAAUGACAUUUCCAGAGGGAGAAUGAGGCCGAGAAACCAAGCAGUUCUGAUAGCAGAUCAACACAUGACAUUCUGUUCAGAUGUUCAAAAACCCCUUACAGACAUCUCAGUUCUUCCAGCUUCCAAAAACUUGGCUUUUCAUUAUGGUACAUUAAUUUCAGAAUUUCCUAGAAAAAGGAGAAUUUCCCACAAACCAUCUCAAUCUUUUCACCUCCCCUCUGCCUUUCAGCUAAUAAUAUUCUUCACUCGUUGAUUAGUUCCAAUCGUAUCUGAUAAACAAGUGGGAAUGUUGAAGGUUUGUGGAUUCCAUGCCUGCCCUGUCCAACACCUGCUCCCCAAGGCUGUUGGCUGCAGCCUCAUUCAUGACAGUGAAGGUGGCCAACCAGCAUUCUUCCUCCAACAUGUGUGCCUGCACAGAGGCAGCUGAGGUUAGAAACAGUUGUUUGAGUUGGAAGGGACUCUUAAAAGCCAUCUAGUCCAACUCUCCUGCAAUGAGUAGGGAUGCCUAUAGCUAGAUUAGGUUGCUCAGGUCCCUGUCCAACCUAACUUUGAGCAUCUCUAAGGUCAGGGCAUUCACCAGGAGGAGGUUGCUGCAAGAGAAUGCAGAGUUGGGGAAAUUGUACUACACUUGCAAGGGAUAACUCUUUUAGUCCUGAUGUGAAGAUGUGGACAGAGUUUUCUUUGUCUCUCCGGAUAUGCUUUAAAAGCAGGAGAGCUUAGUGCCUUCUUCCCGAUUGUUCCUCCAGAGUCUUCUCAUUGGUAUGAAUGAUCCACUGGUUAGUGGAGCCACACAAGGAAUCUACUGGAGAAUAUCAGGAGGAUGUCAGCUGUAGAUAGUGAGCUCCUGUACACCUAGUACAGGUGUAUCCUAUUGAUAUGGAAUUGUUAAAAAGCAAAUUUCAGAAGGAAAAAGAUAUUUCUUAAGAAUAGGAAAACUGAGACCUUAUAGGAUGCAAGAGAGAUGAGUUAUGAGUUUUGUGCUUUAAAAUAAAUAAAGAAAAAACCCAACACCAAAAGUUGCAGGGAAGAGGGAGAUUGAAAGAUAUAACUCUGUUCUGCAAAGACUUUCUUUUACUUGUCUUUCCACUUGGAAACAAAGCCUGUAACAGUGCCCAUGAGAUGUUUUGGAUCAGUGUUACUGAACAACAUAUUUAGAUCCAUUAUUUUGGUACUACUUUUAGUUCCCUGAGAAACACUCCCAGGCAUUGCUAAUUCCUCCUUCACUCAUAGAUUUGGAAGGAUGCUUGAGGAGAGAAUCCCACCUAGAACCUGCUUAAAUUUUUGUUGAUUUUCUGCUGUUUUUUUUGUCAAAACUGGGCUUUCUUACAGGGUAAUGUGAUCUAUCAAUCAAUUGUGGAGGUACUGAAACAGUAUGUUGUUAGCAUAUUAUCAGUCACCUUCAGUUUUUUAUCAGGUUUCUGCAAAAUGCUCUUGUCCAGCCUGACAAAAUUGUUUCACUUUUUGAAACUAAUUAGUCUCUGCCUUACUUUGAUUUUGUGAUAGAGGCUUCAUCUGGGGAAAACUCAGGUAGCCUUACAGACCUAGUUCUAAUGAAGAACCUAUAUAUAAUAAAGUAGACAUCUACAUGUAAAACAAGUAUUUUACAUAUUUAUAUACAACAAAGUGAAUCUUUUGCAUCUUUUAAGAUAUAGGCAUCUACUUGCAUUUCUUAAUGUGUAGAUCAACUCAUAAUGAUUCCAAGACAGUAGAACAGAAUUAAUAUUCUAUUAAUUACUUUUUUCCAGUUAAAAUAUCAUUGUAUUAUGAAUAAUAAUAAAGAGCCAAGC
ensembl:lncRNA